rnacentral:lncRNA from 1 species
GCAGCCACGGGCACCCUGCAAGCUUUCACUGCCGUAAAGAAAAGCGCCUGGGUCAGGACCCACGGAAGAACGGAUCGACCUGGCUGUUUGGCUUAGAAACCUCGUGACCGAACUGUUGACUUCAGCAGCGCCGGAGGUGAAGGGGGAAAUAUACCCAAGUUGUACGCCAAUGUCCAUAGCAGAAUUAUUCACAAUCAGCAAAGCUGGAAACAACCCAGGAACCAUCAGCAGAGGAAUGGAUAAAGGAAAUGAAAGGAAAUGGGCUGGAUACACACGUUGGAGUCUUAGCCACAGAGAGGAAUGAAGUUCUGACACAUUCUACAACAUGGAGAAGCCUGGAGAACCUCUGCCAGGCAAAAGAAGCCAGGGACAAAGAACAAAUGCUUCAUGAGUCCAUUUAUAUGGGGCACCUGGAGCAGGGCAGUUCGAGGACAUAGAAGACAGAGUGGAGGUUACCAGUGCCUCAGGGAAUGGGGGCAGUUGGGAGCUCUUCCUUGAAUAGGUACUGAAUUUCUGCUAAGGGUAUUGAAACGUUUUGGAAAUACUGUUGCUGUAACGGUGUAAAUGUAGUUAACACGACUGAAUUCUGC